AUUGAACGCUGGCGGCAUGCUUUACACAUGCAAGUCGAACGGUAACAGGUUAAGCUGACGAGUGGCGAACGGGUGAGUAAUGCAUCGGAACGUGCCCGGUCGUGGGGGAUAACGCAGCGAAAGCUGCGCUAAUACCGCAUACGAUCUAAGGAUGAAAGCGGGGGACCGUAAGGCCUCGCGCGAUCGGAGCGGCCGAUGUCAGAUUAGGUAGUUGGUGGGGUAAAGGCUCACCAAGCCAACGAUCUGUAGCUGGUCUGAGAGGACGACCAGCCACACUGGGACUGAGAGACGGCCCAGACUCCUACGGGAGGCAGCAGUGGGGAAUUUUGGACAAUGGGCGAAAGCCUGAUCCAGCAAUGCCGCGUGCAGGAAGAAGGCCUUCGGGUUGUAAACUGCUUUUGUACGGAGCGAAAGGGUCUCCUCUAAUACAGGGGGCUCAUGACGGUACCGUAAGAAUAAGCACCGGCUAACUACGUGCCAGCCGCCGCCGUAA
rnacentral:rRNA from 1 species